rnacentral:rRNA from 1 species
UAGUGACAAGAAAUAACAAUACAGGACCUUUCGGUUUUGUAAUUGGAAUGAGUUAAGUAUAAACCCCUUUACAAGUAUCAAUUGGAGGGCAAGUCUGGUGCCAGCAGCCGCGGUAAUUCCAGCUCCAAUAGCGUAUAUUAAAGUUGUUGCAGUUAAAAAGCUCGUAGUUGGAUUUCUGUUAAUUACUUUAUAUAAUCUGCACUUUCGUGUAGUUAUAUAGUAUUAGCAUAAUUCAUAUUACUAUUUUAGUAUAUGAAAUUUUACUUUGAGAAAAUUAGAGUGCUUAAAGCAGG